UGAUAAUCCUCUCAGAAUCCUCAUGUGUUAGUUUCCUGGAACUGCUAUAACAGAGUACCACAAAUGGAGUGGCUUAAAACAACAUAAAUGUAUUCUGUCCUGAAGGCUGGAAGUGAGAAAUCAAGGUGUCAGCAGGGAUAGUUCCUUCUGAGGGUUCCGAGGUGGACUCUGUUUCACGCCACUCUUCAAGCUUGUGGUGAUGGCUGACAAUCUUUGGCAUUCCUAGGACUGGUGUCCUCAUCAGAAGAGGAAGAGACAUCAGAAGCAGGUCUGCACAGAGGAGAAGCCAUGCUGGGAUACAAUGAGAGGGCAUCUGUCAGCAAGCCAAGGAGAGAAGCCUCAGGAGAAACCACAGCUAUCGACACCUUGAUUUUAGACUUCCAACCUCCAGAAAUGUGAGAAAUACAUUUAUGUUGUUUUAGCCACCCACUCUGUGAUACCGUGUUAUGGCAGCCCUAGAAGACUAAUAUACAAAUAACUAGUUGUGAAACUGAAAACUUCUGAAAAAAUCUUUAUAAAACAUCAAAUAUUAUUAACCUUGAUUGUAAAAAGACUGAAUUUUCUUUCUACUAUCUUUAUAGAGAAAGAUAAUACAAAAUAUUUGUAAUAUGAAUACGAAGUGAAAAAAUGUAAGAAAAAAGUAUUAUAGAGAUGUAUUAGGUAGCUGAUUAAAAAUGUUAUUUUUCUAGA